rnacentral:rRNA from 1 species
GGGGAUGGGGCCGCGACCGAUCAGGUAGUUGGUGAGGCAAUGGCUCACCAAGCCUUUUACCGGUGCGGGCCGUGAGAGCGGGAGCCCGGAGAUGGGCACUGAGACAAGGGCCCAGGCCCCACGGGGCGCAGCAGUCGCGAAAACUUUGCAAUACACGAAAGUGUGACAGGGCUAUCCCGAGUGCCAUCCGCUGAGGAAGGCUUUUACCCAGUAUAAAUAGCUGGGAGAAUAAGGAGAGGGCAAGUCUGGUGUCAGCCGCCGCGGUAAUACCAGCUCUCCGAGUAGUGUGGACGUUUAUUGGGCCUAAAGCAUCCGUAGCUUGCUAGAUAAGUCCUCUGUUAAAUCCACCGAUUCAAUCGUUGGAUUGCGGGGGAUACUGUUUGGCUAGGGGACGGGAGAGGUCGACGGUAUUUCCGGGGUAGGGGUGAAAUCCUAUAAUCCCGGGAAGACCACCAGUGGCGAAGGCUGUCGACUAGAACGCGCCCGACGGUGAGGGAUGAAAGCUGGGGGAGCGAACCGGAUUAGAUACCCGGGUAGUCCCAGCUGUAAACGAUGCAGGCUAGGUGUUUGGGCGGCCACGAGCCGCCCUAGUGCCGCAGGGAAGCUGUUAAGCCUGCCGCCUGGGGAGUACGGCCGCAAGGCUGAAACUUAAAGGAAUUGGCGGGGGAGCACCACAAGGGGUGAAGCUUGCGGUUUAAUUGGGGCAACGCCGGAAAUCUCACCGGGAUCGACAGCAGUAUGAAGGCCAGAUUAAAGGUCUUGCUAGACGAGCUGAGAGGAGCUGCAUGGCCGUCGCCAGUUCGUGCCGUGAGGUGUCCUGUUAUCAGGCAACGAUCGAGACCCGCGUCCUCUGUUGCUACUGGUUUUGUGCCAGGCACACUGAGGAGACCGCCGCUGAUAAAGCGGAGGAAGGAGCGGGCCACGGCAGGUCAGUAUGCCCCGAAUAUCCCGGGCCACACGCGAGCUGCAAUGGCAGGUACAAUGGGUUCCGACCUCGUAAGGGGAAGGCAAUCUCGAAAGCCUGCCGUAGUUGGGAUCGAGGGUUGAAACUCACCCUCGUGAACAUGGAAUCCCUAGUAAUCGCGUGUCACUAGCGCGCGGUGAAUACGUCCCUGCUCCUUGCACACACCGCCCGUCGUUCCACCCGAGCGACUCCUGGGUGAGGCGUGGUCUUCCUUGGCUGCGUCGAAUCUGGGUUUCGCAGGGGGGGAAAAGUCGUAACAAGGUG